rnacentral:rRNA from 1 species
UACGGAGGAGGCAAGCGUUAUCCGGAAUUAUUGGGCGUAAAGCGUCCGCAGGUGGCCCUUCAAGUCUGUCGUCAAAGACUGGGGCUUAACCCCGGAAAGGCGGUGGAAACUGAAGCGCUAGAGUGCGGUAGGGGUAGAGGGAAUUCCCGGUGUAGCGGUGAAAUGCGUAGAGAUCGGGAAGAACAUCGGUGGCGAAAGCGGCGCACUGGACCAUAACUGACGCUGAGGCGCGAAAGCUAGGGGAGCAAACAGG